UGUGUUUUUGUUGAAUGGCGAUUUUAUCAAGUGAUGAGACGCACCAUCGCAUUCGACGGUGUACCUGGAAUGUAGAAGCAACAGGACAGCGAUUUAUUCCUCUUAUUCUGGGAUUAUCUCACACUUCAAGCACAAAUUUCUCUGAGAAAAAUUUGUUUAUCUACAUUUUAUUACAGGGAGGGAAAGAUAAUUGGAGAUUUGCUGAGAAGCAGCGAUGGCGGAAUUUGGGUAUUUGCUCAAAGCUUCAGACAGACUGAAGUUGUCAAUGAAAAUCACAAGUACUCCGUACUUCUGGAUGCUUGUACAGGCUAUUGCAAUCAAACAGAGGUACUGCAUGCUAGUCCUCGUCUCUUUCUGAGAAAUGAACGUGAAAAGGCACUAAUCUUUUUUAUGUAAACAGAGGUAUCUUGCAUUCGUAUUUCAGUACAGCUAUGGGAAGAAGGGGGAUGUGUAAUCCACUAAUCCUGAAAUUCUACCUGCAGAAAUUCAUCGAAAGAAAAGUAGUAGUUAACACUCAAGACUAUUCGCAAUUUUAUUGGCCUGCUGAUUACAUAAAAAAGAUUGAGACCUUUCACACGCCAUGAGGUCUUCUUUCUGGAUCUCCAUAUUUUUGCUUGCGCCGACAUGUGGGAAGCUAAAGGCCUAGCUAAACACAAGCUCUUCCUCUAAUUAGCAGUUCAGCGGCAUUGAUGGACGAUUGACCUUCUGUUAAAGCGCGGAAUCGACGACCAUUUGGUUUGCCCCUUCUAUGCUCAAGAGCUUGAGACGGCGAACUAUAUAUUACUUGAUUGUGUGUUCUCUUUUCGCCAUUGCGUUGUGUAUUUUGAAUUCUGGUUUUUUCUAAUAUAUUAUCGUGUAAAUUUUUUGUGCAUUCGCGAAAAAAUCAGGUAAAGAUGAUGCUUGGGUUCCGGAUGACUUGUUUCCUAAUUUUCUCUUGUUCAAAUGGUCAGUUCCGUAUUUCUGAUGCAUGGGCUAGCUGUAUGCAUUGUGCACAUGUGCACUAUCAUAUCCUUCUGAUCGUGCAUGGUGCUAACAUUUCCCUCCGUGAUUGAAGGGAAAUAUUUCCUGUCAUCUUUAAGGCAACUUGGGAACUGGCUCGCCGAAAUUGACAGGAUUUUGUCCGUGAUUGAAGGAUCGGCAGGACAUACCUUCGCCAGCUUCAAGUUCAAUAUGGAAUGGCCAGCCAGCCGUUAGUGGAAGAUAUGGCAGUUGUUCCUCAUAUUCUGAGUGUGUCCCAUACUUCAAGCACAAGUGCACAAGUUAUGUGAAGAAAAGCUUAGUCAGUCAGUUUGCAUUUUACAGUGACAGAGAGGGCCUGAAUUGGAGAGUUUCUCAAAGCCUCAUACGUAGUGUAAAUCGAGUAAAGGCUAAACAGUUUGGCAUUGGCAGUAUCAGGAAACGUUACCGAGAGAGAACACACGGAGGUGCAGUAGUUUAACACAAGACAUGGACACCAGCUAUCACAAGAGGCGAGACGAUUCCGGCAGAAAUGUCCAGAAUCCCUCGUAUUCUGCUUGGUGAAAUAAACAAAGCAUAUAUUUUUGCUUUUUCCUUGUGAUAGAUCGAGGAUGCAGACCGCAGAUGCACCCGUUCGAGACACUACAAAACAACACGUCCAAUGCACUAGAGUGUAGAGGGUCCAGAGAAGGUCUUAUAUAGCAUUAAUCUACACUGUCAAGUUGCUUCCAUGGUAAAUAACAUACUAAUAGUAAGGUUUGCUUCUCCA